rnacentral:rRNA from 1 species
CAGUCGCCGCGGGAAUACAGAGGGUGCGAGCGUUAAUCGGAUUUACUGGGCGUAAAGCGUGCGUAGGCGGCUUCUUAAGUCGGAUGUGAAAUCCCUGAGCUUAACUUAGGAAUUGCAUUCGAUACUGGGAAGCUAGAGUAUGGGAGAGGAUGGUAGAAUUCCAGGUGUAGCGGUGAAAUGCGUAGAUCUGGAGGAAUACCGAUGGCGAAGGCAGCCAUCUGGCCUAAUACUGACGCUGAGGUACGAAAGCAUGGGGAGCAAACAGGAUUAGAUACCCGAGUAGUCCCUGUCUCUUAUACAC